AACAGAGGAUAUGCGGCUGAUUCUGAGUGACAGCAGUUUCUAUCAGUCUCAGAUGAUCAGAGCCAGAUACCUGCUCUACCCUGGCUGGAUUAAAGUCAUCCCUCAGCAGCAGCCCUUUCACAGGAAACAUCUAUCACAUUAGUGGGAAAGUGUUUUUCUCUGACCGUGACAGGUUGUGGGAUGUGAGCUGUAACUCCAUCAGUGAGAGUGUGACUGUGGCCCUUGAUCAGGUCUCAACCCAUAGACCCCAAAUCGCACAAACUAGUUACCUGGUGAUCCAUGGGGUAGGACUCACCCAGAACAGCUUGAAGGACUGGCUCAGACAGUGUGCUAAACAGAUGAAGAGACACGGAGCCACUCCCUUCUGGUUACUUCUAUAACGGCCAUCAGUUUGUCAGUUUCUUUGGAGACAAGCAGAACUUCCAUCCUUUAAUGGACCAGUUUGUAGAGGAAUAUCUGCAGGAGGCCAAUAAGGAGAUUGAGCGCUUUAACAGUGAAGUGGACCUGUAUGCUCCCAGGGAUCUCUUUGACUAGAGUUCUUCCUCUGGUCCUGUUCACACCAGGAUGGGGUUUCACUUCAAGAUAAAUGAUUUCUCCAAUCAGCUGUUCACUCUACUGUUCAUGCAGUGUUAAGGGAAUAGUAAGACGGGAGGGAGGGGUUGGCCACUUCAUAAAUCCACACUAUAACUUCAGGGAACCACUGCAAGUGAAGAUGAUGAGAGACCUUCACCCAGCUCACUACCACUCUGUACUAUUCCCUGAGGGACAUUCCUUCUGUAAAUAGCACAUUUAGCAUACAAUGGGGAGAAACAGAGUGCAUAUUAAGAUGUGGCAUGAGCUCAUCCAUCCAUUAU